UUCACCUUGCAAAACCAAAGAUCACUGGGGACACCAUCCACUGCCUACUCACCAGUGGAGGCAAAGCAACUGCAAUUACACAAGAGAUUAGGAAACCAAACAUACGUGUGAGGCGUAAUAUACAUAAAGCAACAAGUGAAGACUAUUGAAAACUUUGCAAAACCAGAGAUCACUGGAGACACCGUCCACUGCCUACUCACCAUCGGAGGCAAAGCAACUGCAAUUACACAAAAGCUUAGGAAACCAAACAUGCGUGUGAGGUGAAAUAUACAUAAAGCAAAGAAUGAAGACUCUAGAAAGCUUUUGCCGCCCAACCGCCCACUAACUUAAUAGUAAUUGCUGACUACCAAAGUGAAGAGCCACGCGGACAGAGCAUUGCUGACUACCAAAAUGAAGAGCCACGCGGACAGAGCAAGGUUACAAUGCAAGAGAGCCAGCGGACAAAAGCAAAAUACCAGCAGAGCCACUGACACCCAUCAGCAAAAGACCAAAACGCCCCUCAAGCUCACACAAAUAACGGCAUAACCGGCCCAUUUUUUACUGUUCACAAGCGGAUUCUCGCUUUAUAUAUGUAAGACUAGAUGUUUUGCCCUGACGCUAUGCGUCAGGUAGGUAGGAAAGAAUUGUUUAGUUGGUAAGAAUAGCAAGUUGAGAAAGGUGAGGCUGUGGCGGUGGUUUGUACUGGCGUUAGCCAGGUGUUGUUUAUGUGAUUUUGUAGUAUCUGAUUUGUAGUUUGCAUGAGUAGGAUUGCUACUUGUGUUUCAUGCGUUGAUUGUGUCAGGAAAAAAUUGCCAAGUUGUGCUGAUUUUCUUUGUACGUGGCCAGUUUCUUGCUACUAUAUAUAAGGACCUUCGUGUUUUGGGAAUGGUUAUGUGUGAUAUAUUUUUGGUUUGCUAGGUAGUAGUUUGUAUUUGCAAAGUGUGUGUUUUUUUCAGUUGGAUGGAGUCGCAGUGUGUUAGUGUUUGCGGAUUGAAUGAUAGAAUUCGAGGAUGGAUUGCUAAGUUAGUUGUCGUGGAAAAAACUUUAUUUCGGCGACCGCGGAAUUCGACUCGAAUGUUUUUUCGAGUUGUUUUUGCUGAUGCUUCUGUAAGGGCUUCUUAGACUUGUUUUUGUAAGUUUUAUUGUGUUUUUGUUUUGUUGAUAUGGAUAAUAGGUAUCUCUCUUUUUUUCAGGGUGAUACAAUUCAAGGAAUAACAUAUUUAUCUGAUCUGGAUGCUAUGGAUUGUGCAUUGGAGUUGCAUGGGACAUAUUAUAUUGCAAAUGCCACUAUACAGUGUCUACGUAGUUCACGGAUGCAGAUUGGGAUGGUUCCAUAUGAGAUUAUUAUAUCACAUAAUACUGUGAUUAAUCGUGUUUUACCUGAGCAUGCAUUAUCGGUGGAAAAUUUCUAUGAACUGACUCGUUUUUGCGAUUUGGAUUCUUUGAGGGUUAAUCCAAAUGCAAGGAUAAGUAUAACUUUUUUUUUGUUUUUUUGGUUGUGGUGUAUUAGUAAGUUUAGGUAUUAUUGGUGUGAUUGCAGGCUAAUUUGUUAUUUUUAUAUGAUAGCUUUGCUUGGUGUAGCUGUUUAUGCUGGUCCGGCAAUAUUUUACGCCAUCGGAAAUAGACAAGUUCAUCUGCAAGAGUUUAUUAUCUUGAAUGAAGAGUAUGUUAUCAGUUUCUGUAUGGUUAGUUAAUAUAGUUAUAAUUAUAUUUUUUAAUUGUGUUUGUUUAAUUUUAGUGUGUAUAUAAUUUUUGCAGGAGGAUACCAAUAGUGUUUUCAGUAUGGGAUGAUUAUUUUGAGGAUGAUGGCAUGCAUUUAGUUGAACUUAUCAACGAGCGACCAGUUGUUAUGAUUUGUCGUCCACGUAUUAGUCAUCUUCAUGGUAUAUGGGUUUGAUUUUAGUUUUCUAUUAUUUAUUUAUGGUUGUGUCUAGGAUUUUGUUUAUGUAGAUAUUUUUUGUAUUUUUUUUUAUUCGCAGGUCUUUCUAUUGCAACUCAAGCGACUACCAUUAUUAUGUAUAAUCCUAAUUUGCUCGUGGCUCAGCAGCUAAGGCAUUGGUAUGAUACAUUUGUUGGUGAUACUGGCUUUUGAGCAAUGAAAGUGAAGGAUUUUUGGCAUCGCUUGUGGUGAUAUUUCUGUUGGUGUUAUAAUAGCUAGUAUCUAAGAGUGAUUUGUGCAUAGUUGUAGUUUUGGUGUGGUAUGUUACGGUUGUUAUUUCAUUGAUGUUAUAAUAGUUGGUAUGUAAUAGUGGUUUGUGAAUAUUGGACGUUUGAUUUUCCUCUUUUUUUUUUUUCCUUUGGCUGGUUUGGAGUGGUAUCAUUGAAUCUAAGUUUGUUUUUUUAAGAAGUAUUUUUUGGUGAAUUAUUUGAUUGUUUUUAGAAGGAUUUUUUAGAUAUCUUCUUGUUAUAUUUUGCUUAAUAUUUAUGUAGCUGUAAUUGAAUUAUGCUGAUGCGGUAUAAUUGUGUAUAAGAAGAAGAAAUCAAACUUUAAGCAAUGUAUAUGUAAGAUAUGUGCGAAUUUGAGUAGGAACAGGAUAAGUAGUUAUAUCUUACAUAUAUUUCAUUUACAAGAGCAACAAGAGCAAGAUAUAUUCAAAAGUGGCCUUGCUAAACUAACUGGCGUUUAUGUACAUUCCGCGCCUUAGGUAUAAAAGUGUCUAAGCAGGGUCUGCAUUAGCCAUUUGCAAUAUUGCUGAGGUUGAUUAUAGAUAUAAUAUUGAUGGUAGGGCUGAGCAAAAGUGAUAGAAGGUGUGCUGAGUGAGAGAUUUAGAAGGUGCUGAGGUGUUUAUGGCUUUGGGCGUUUGUUGUGGGCUUCUUGAACUGGCUGAAGGGGGUGUUUUGAUGUUGUUUGUUGCUUGAUUGACGUAAUUUGGUCAUUGAUGGUGGUAUCGAUUGAUGGUUCAUGUGUAGGUUCUUGGGAUGUGCUUGGUUCGGUAGAGUCAAUCACAGUUGUGAUCUGAAGGUUACUGUUGUCGGCGGCUAGAUGGGGAAUAGUGUUUGGGGUCGGAGGGAUUGUAAGAUAAGCAACAACAAUGUAUCGUGCAGGCUGAAGUGUUUCUGAUGGUCGAAUGAUAUUUCGUAGUUGGAUGUAGAAUUGGGUAUCUUGGAGGUUGUUAUUGAUUAGCUGGAUGUUGAUUUGUUCAUGUAUCUUUUGCAUGUUUAUGAUUUGCUCGGCUGACAUUUGAAGAAUAGACUCUGCAUAUUUGUCUUCAAUUAAUGCUGGUAGAAUACUUGUACCAUCAAAGAGUUGAACUUCAAAACGGAGCCUGCCAUUACAUCAAAUUGUUAAGCAUAAUAUUAGAAUAGGUACAAAAUUAAGUAGUAAUUGAUAAAGCAUAGAAAUUAAAUGCGAACCUUGGUAAUGGUUUUUGGUAAGUGAGAUGGCAGUAAAAGCAUUUGAAUUCUGUAUCAGUAUCAGCUCCUGUUGGUUUUGAACAAUCAGGUUUUGGACAACUUAGGUAGUAAAAACGUGUGUUUGUCACUGAGAUACGAAUCUGAGCCUUUAUCCAAAAGGGCCUGGUCUGUGAUUUCAUACGAUAUAUGUUAGGUAUUGGUAAUUUUAUCUGCAACUGAUUAAUAGCAGUAUGAUUAAGACUUACAUGUUCAGCUGUCAUAGGAAUUGUCGCUAUUUCUUGUAGUUGUGCAGUGGUUGGUGGAUGGAUAAUUUGAUUUGCUUUUUCAUAUAGUCUUUCUUUGAUUAUUGUUUGUAUGUAACAGCUAUUUUCCUUUAUCCUGCAUAAAAGUUGGGUUUAUGAAUCUGGUUGAUAUGAGGAUUAUAUAGUUUAAAUUAAUAGGAUUACCAGUUUCUCAAAGCUGUGGCUUGGGGGAUUUCUGGAUUGAAUAAUAUGAUAGUGGUUGCUUGUGUUCCCAGAGAAAUUGCUGCAAUUGAAUGUAAAUAAGAAUAUAGAUUGUGAAGGUGUGUGAUAAUUUUAUAUAGUUGUAAAUUUGUAUCAGAAAAUAAUAUGCUUACUGUGAUACGAGUUGACUUUUGGUCUAGCCAGUAAGAUGAUAGGUUGCUGAGGUGCCAUUGCUUUUAAUUGCGAUCCUUCGACAGAUAAGAAUUCUUCCCAUAUCGUAAAAGUCAUUGGUCGUUUUCUGCAUGUAUAGAAGUGUAAAUAUUAUGAAUUAGUAACAUAUGGUAGAGAAUAACUUUUAGUUAGAAUUGGCAAGUACUCUUCAUUAACGACAGCAAAUUCUUGGAUCGGCACAUAUCGUUUUCCUCUUGGCACUAAGCGAGGAGGUAGCGCAUGCAGGACAGCACAGAGGAUAUCUGUACAUCAGAGAUCAAUUGUAUUUAGACUACAUGUUUUGUAAAAGGCAGUGUAAGGCAGUGGAUGAAAAUCAUACUUAUUCUUGUUGAGUAAUCGCCAAUGUAAUUAUGUAGCUGUGUAAAGGGUGUUAAUUCAUAGCAAUCAUCAGAGGGCAAUGCAUCAUGUGAUGAAACAGCCUGAAUAAAUGUUCUUUUCGAGAUUGUUAACUGAUAUGGUGAAGAUGCAAGAUAAAAAGGGAUGCUUAUUUUUGUAACCCAAGCAUUUCCAAUGUAGUAGGUGGAAUAAAGCUGAAGAAUUGGCUCGAUAUCUUGAAUGUCUCUUUCGAAAAUAGUUCCUUGGAUGGUGUUUUUCUGCAUUUAAAAAUUGAAGAGAUGUAAUGAGUGAUUUUGUGUAUAAGUGUGUGUGAUAAUAGGUAGAUGAAUAAAAAUUUAUUUGGUUUGAUAUAUCUCACCAUAGCAUCAGCGAACACUAAUUUUUGAUAUGGCCUUCCAUCUUCUUUGCUAUAACGAAUUGCACUUUUUUCUAUCACAAUAAGUUUAGCAAACCAAUUUGAGUUCGUGUCUGUUAACUUUGGUAUCAGAACGCAUUUUCCCUCCAUGUUGAUACUGAAAAAAGAGGGAGCAAAGUAAAAUUAAUUAAUAAGUAAAGUAAAAGUUUCUAUGUAUUAUAUAUGUGAAGGAUUUAGUUUCAGGAGAGCUUGUUUGAAUGCAUUGCAAAAGAAAGCUAGGAAUGAAAUUACCUGGAUAGAUUGGAGAGCAAAGAUUCAGAAGCACAAGAAGAGGUUUGCGAAUCUGUGCAAGCUAAUGAGAUGUGUCUGUUGAGAUGGAAUUGAUUUAUAUAUAAUGAGUAAGGAUAGUGGAAUGAGUGAUAUGUGAUAAUGAGCAUUUGGUCUGGCGCAUUGUUAAUGGGAGACAGUAUCUAAUUGCAUGUGGUUAGAAGCUGCCAGAGAAAGCAUGUAAUGAUUAAAAUGGUGCAUGGCAGAUAGAGAUUACGUGUUACACCUACCAAUGAGUUUUACAUGUGUCAUGCAAUGAAAUUAGAAACGAUUGCUGCAUAUUGUGAAGGACAUCUGGAUAUGGCUUUCAUGAUACAGGUAGCAAUAUAGAAGGUACAGGUGUUUAAGUCGGGUGUUGUUGAAGGCUCUAAGCUGGUAAACUCAUUGGAGGUUAGCAAAAUAAAAUUCCUUUGGAUCUGUUAUAAUCUCUUUAUUUCUUAGAUGUAUUUCAAAGCUAGCAAUAAUUUCUGGUCUCUAAAUAAUCAUGACAGCUUGCAUUUGAAUGAGCACUUCUAACCUGUGGGAAUGUCAUACAUUUUAAGGCAUUGGCUGGUGGGACUUUGUGGCUGGAUUUAGUCGCAAGCAAGAUUGCAGCAGAGUAGUGGAUUACUGUUGGAUCUGCUAUAGGAAACAUUACUUGCAGGUCUUUCUUUUAUUCUCCAUUUUGUUUUGAGCAAGUCGUUGGAUGAUAGAUUCCUUUUCUCUCCUUUUUCAUUUUGUUUAGACUUGUAUCCUCAAUGUUGUUUGUUCUUGCAGCAAUUCGGUGAAUAUCUACAUGGGAAUUGGUAUUCCGUGGCUCAUUGAUACAAUAUAUGACUUCAUCGCAUACAAUGAAUUGUUGCGCAUACACAAUGCUGAAGGUACCUGGGGAGAGGAAAUGAAGAGAGAGGCAGCAGCUAGGAGCUGGGAGAUAGUAUCUGGGAGUGGGAGGUCUAAUUCUGAGGGGGGGUUUUGACUUUAUAUUUUUUAUUCUAAUCAAAAUUGGCGAACAGAAUUUAUAAGAAAAUAGAGAAGGUGCUUUUUUAUUUUCCUUUCGACUCUAUUUUUUUCCUCCCCUAAGUAGUUUAUCCAUAUUCAUUUCCUAGUAUAGGGUAUAUAGGGUAGUGAAUGAGAGUUUCUUACCAUGUUCUUAAUUUCCUUAGACUCGUAUCUUCUGUGGUGCGUUGCUAGAGGUGUAAAGGGUGUCAGCUGGCUAUUUAUGCGAGAGAAUCAUUUGUUUUCAAUUUGGACAUCGUUUGGUUACUGCAACUGUUGCUUUAUGUAAUAGCAGCUUUCUUUAACCUUUUUUUUUUUUGAAUUUGUUGUGAUUUGUAAAAGAAUGUCAAGCACCACCUUUGCCAUUGUAGAUCCAGGACUUGCCAUUGAAUCCAAGAUUUUCGUUCCAAUGCUCUAAUUGGUCUUUUGACUUAAAUGAGACUCAGAAAAAACAUGUUAAUUGCAUAUUCCAGUUGAAUCUGGAAUUUUGACAAAGAUGUGUAACUUAUAUUUAAUCAUAAACUUUUUGUUGUAAUCAUGAUUUCUUAAGAAGGAUUUCAUGAUUUUUCGUCAAUAAAAAAAAGCGAUAAGGUGUCACUUGAUUAUAAUAAUGACUGAUGCAGUAGUUCAAAACCUUUUAUGCAGGAAAGUCUUUAGAACCAGAAAGCUCUAAGCAAGGCAAGUAGUUAAGGAGAAAUGAAAGAUGUACGGCUAAUAUUUUCCUAAUAAAGAUGAAAACAUUAUACAGGGAGAACUGGACCGCAAAUACUUGAUUCAUAAGCUGGAGAAUAAACUUACGAAUUUCUAAAAUGAAAACCCUUAUACUUAGUGAAAAUGGCACUUGACAACAAAAGGAUAAAGUGCGACACCAAAACCAAAUGCUCUGUAGAAACAGAAUCAGCCACAAAAAUCAUAUAGCUAUAAACAUAACCUUCCUAUGGCAGUAUAUGUCUAAUGAAUCUUCAAUAUGGUUCAGCUUCAAACAGCAGCAUUUGUACAAGCUGUCGCUGCAGCAGCUAAUGCUGCCCUGCUUCGACUAUUCCAGAUAUGUCGUGGUACGGUAUUAUUUGGACUUCAUAACUUGAUGAAAGCAAAACAAGAUCAGCAGGAAAGAAUUCAUCCUUCUUCACUUUCAUUACAUCUCCAAUUUUCAAAUCGAUGCACUUGAUGUAUUGGAAACUUCUAUGAUUGCUGUAUACUUUAACUAACCUGUUGUUUAUUUCAAUAUCCUGGUAUUAUUCCCAAAUCUUUAUUAUAUACUGGGUGAAAAAGAAAACACGAAAUACAGAUUAAACAAAUCAAAACCAAUUGCAGAUCAGCAAUCUUUAAGCAAUUUAACAACAGAAGAAGGCAGCAAUGGAAAGUUCAAGACUUGCAAAAGGACGAGACAAAUGUGGACAUAAAAACUUUGGAAGUGAUAAAAUUGGGCAAAGAACAUGAGAAAGAAGUGUAUAGGAUGACGAAGUAGGAGCUUUUCUUCCUCCUGAAAGGAAAAUGAGAAUAAGGGAAAGAGGAAAACGAAAAGGGAAGCCAAAGUUUUCUGUGCAUCAUCGUUUUAGAAUUAUUCUAAAAUGUUGUAUCUGGAGAAGCAUUAGCAGAACAGUGCAGUAAUUGAUUACCUACAACAUGUACCUUCUGUUUUUUGAAACAUCAAUGCCACAUUUCGGAACAAAAAUCUUGACUGAUUUGUCAGAGUAACACCUAUGAACUCAGGUAGACCAGCUACAAGAUCAAUGAUGCAUGAUAGUUAGGCUUAUUAAAUUCCCCUUGCAUUAAAAUUCUAGAAAUUAAUUGCAAAAUAUGGUCCAAAACCAUAUAAAAACUACUGGAAAAUUUACUGCAAUUUGACAGAAAAUACUGGGAUUAUUGAUAAGCUACAAUACUUCAAUGUACUCAGAAGGGGCAUUUGAGCUGAGCUCCUGGACACAAAUCCGAUGGUUAUUGAUAAUCUAAGAUCAGAAAUGUCACUUACUUCUGAAUCUCCUCCAUCUUUAUCUUCAGCUUUUCACGCUCAGCUUCAGUAUUAAUGCUCCCUCGAAGUUCCAGGUAGACAGAUACCACUUCGUUUACAACAGAUACUGCACAUCCAGCUGGAGAGACGUCAUUCUCACCUAAAACCUGCACAUUUUGAUCUUUUUAAGGUCACAAGGAUAAGAGAUUGGAAAAGGAUUAAAAAUGCCACAAAAGUAGGGCAAAAGAAGAGGAUCAUUGCAAAAAACUAAUGUUGAAAAGCCUAGCCCUCCAAUUAUAGAAUACUCUAAAGAUUCUUGCCUGGAUAUAUUACUGAUUCUACUGAAACUUUGCUUUUUUCUUUUGACAGCAGUCAUCUUCAGCAACUGUGAGCUUGUUAUGCCAAAUUCAGAAUAUAACUCUAAUAGAGUGAUCAAAUUUUCACUUUUCAGUAGUGAAUAUGCUAUCUUGCAGAAAUAUUGAAGUUUCCUGAUGAAAAUAGACAAAUGGCAACAGAUAAAAGUACGAAUUAGAUUCCAAGAAAGUCAGUUUCUUGGAAGGAAUAGAGAAGCAAAUGGUAAUUCUUGCAGUGUCUGUAAUCAUCAUAGAGAAGGAAUUGUUCUGCAAAAAAUAAUUGCAUUUGAAAUGUUAAAUUUUAGGACAAUAUCAAAAUGCUAUAAAUCAAGUAGGAAAUGAAGAAGUGAUAAAUCCUACACCUUGAUACAGAUUUUUUCAGCUCAUGAAACAUGGAACGGGGAAAAAGGCAAUCCAUGGCAAAUUGUAUUAUAAUUAACAGGACCUGAAGCUAGUAUGGAUAACUUAUUGUUGAUCGAGGAUGACAAAUGUAUUGCACUUGCAGAGGAGUAUGUGUACCUUGCUAAUUUUGCUUACUUAGGAGGGAUAGGCUUGGCAGUAUUGACACUGAUUUUGCCUUUACUUCUAGGAUCAACAACAAUUACAACUUUUUCUUCAUCUUCUAUUCCAGCCAGUUGAUGAAACCUGACUUUGUUCUUGACCAGUCCUUUCUCUGUUAAGAAGUAGAAGAAAGCUCAUGUUUCUUGAUUGUAGACCUUGAGCUGAACAUUUUGUUUUUCCUUCUUCUUUCUUGGAAUGUACACUUUUUGCUGCACUCGUGCCAUCAAACAUAUUAACUAAUAAUGAUAUGAUCAGGCUAUUGGUUGCCGAUGGAUGAUGCUUCAUGAAAAUAGCAGACUUGUUCAUUUGUGAAACAAAUUUGGCAUUACCUACUUUCACAAAGAAAGCAGUAAGGAAGUAUAAACAAAAUAAAUUUGAAAUGGAAAUUAGGAUAAAGAGUUAGAUAACAUACCUUAAUCUGUAUCAAUAUGAAUUGCUAGCAUAUAUUCAUUAAUCAUUCAUGAUUGCAGAUAAGACCUCUUUGUAGACUAUAUUUUUUGUAAGAUUUGUUACUUUGGAAAACAGAUUUGGAGGUCGUAUUAAUACUUUAACAUUACUUGAUGUCCUGCCACGUGAUAAUGCAACAUAUAAUUGGCCAUGGGAGAAAACAGGCUCUUUUAGAUAUAGACCGACAUAAUCCAAUGUUUGUCCUUGUGCUUUAUUAAUCGUCAUUGCAAAACAUAAUCUCAGAGGAAAUUGUGUUCUUUUGAAAGGAACUGAGCAGAAAUCAUCAUCAGAAGUUUGCAAAGGAAUUCGAGGAAUAAAGACAUGUUUACCUUUAAGAGAACCGCAUGCAAUCUCUGCAUGUAUUACAUUGUUUCCAAAUUCUUUGCAUAUCAAUCGGGUGCCAUUAGAUAGGCCUUCAGUAGGGUUGAUGUUUCGAAUCAACAUAACAGGACAAUUAAUCUUUAAUGUUAGCCUAUGAAGAGGUAAACCUUUGGGCAUUAGUGAAUUCAAAAAAUCUUGUGUCUCUGAUUGAUGAGAUGAAUCAAGGACUUCAUCAUAGCUUAAAUAUACCUGUUCUGUACCUGGAAAUUUAGCAAUGACUUUGUUAUUAAUUUCAAAUACAAAAUCAUUUCUCGUCAUUAAAAUUGCAUGGUUAACAAUAGAAUCCGGGCAAUGAGCAAAAGCAUUUAAAUCUGGAAAUACCGCGGUGAUCAAGGCAUCAACUGAUGAAUCAUCAUUGAGAAAUACCAAAUUCAUUCGUUCAGGUACACAGACUUCGUCAUUCUGGUUUGUUGCUUCGAUACCAUUACCAAUUCGAAGAAGGUAUUUAGAGAAAUCCGGAUCUAGCUGAGCUCGCAUGUUCUGGGAUAGUUUCAAUUUUAUCAGGUACGGCCAAAUAGGAGAUGUUAUUAAGCUAGCAUUGACGAUUUCUUCUUUACACCCUUUGGUCACCACUGGUAGUGUUUGUCGAAAGUCUCCACCAAAAACAAUGAUCUUGCCACCAAAUAUAGCAUCUUUAUUCAUGAUAUCUUUUAAUGAAUCAUCAAAUUUUUCUAUCGAACUGCGUUUUGCCAUGCUUGCUUCAUCCCAAAUAAUUACUUUUGCAUCUCUUAUUAAUUUAGCAAUAGCACUUUGCUUCCCAAUAUUGCAAGUUGCUGUAUCAUUAUCUUGUAAUGGAAUUUUGAACCUUGAAUGUGCUGUACGCCCACCAGGUAAAAUUGAAGCUGCAAUUCCAGAUGUUGCAGUUGCUAAUGCUAUGCCUCCUUUCGAUCGUAUUGCUGCAAGUAGAGCCCUGUAUAAAAAAGUUUUUCCAGUUCCACCUGGCCCAUCUAAAAAGAAUGCACAUGAGAUGUUAUUAUCAAUAGCAUGCAUAAUCUUCUCAAAUGCUAAUUUCUGGUCUGAGUUUAAUUGCUCCAAUGCACCAAGAUCUUCAUUAGAUACAACUAUGCUUUUUUCAACAUCAACUUCCUUACUGUUUAGGUCCUGCGACAAUUGUUCAAGCUGAAUGUCAGUUAAAUUGUAUUCAGCAAUGUUUUUUCCCAUAGACCGAAGACUUGAAUCAAUCAGUUGAAGCACUUGUAUUUGCACAGAAUGUGGUCGGACUGAUGUAUUAUGUCGAAUAUCUUCAGAUAAGAAAUCUUCAUAUUUCAACCACAACUCUCGUGGGUUUUUAGGAGUACAAUAAGCCAGUAUAGAUGCAAAGAGUUGUCUAAGAGAACUUGGCAUUUGGUAUGCAGAGGCCUCCUGUAAGCAAAGUUCAGCAGCAUUGUCGGAAUGUAACAGUCCAAGUAAAUUUGCAGCUUCUUUAUAUGUUUGGCAUGCAUAUCCAUUGACAACUUUUAAAUGUUGGAAAGAAGUAGGUUUUCUAACAUGCAUUAACAACAUUCUUAAAUAAUAACGCUCCCCCUCAGUAGGAUGAGCAGUUAAAAUACGACCUAUAACUUCUUUUUUUUUUCGUCUAGUCCAAUAUUUUGAUUGUGCAUUCCAAGUAAAAUGCUCAGGAAACUCUAUAUAUAGACAAUUCAAAUGCUUGGCAUGUUCAUCAUAACAAUUCAUGCUAAAAAACUCUGUAAGCAUUGUUUGUGAGGAACGUGGGUUAUUGAUUAUAUUUUGCAAUGAUUGGUUUUCAUCAAAUGUAACUGAUUGUUUAUUCUCCAAAUGAAGUUGCAAAGGAAUUACCGAUGGAUGUAUUUCAUUUAAGUCAAAUGCAUAGAUUCUCCCAUAGUUAUUAAACCCGGCCCGGCCCGGCGGUCGAACCGUUCGAACCGGUGACCCGGUCAUCAAACCGGGCCGGGUUACUAGUUAGAUCGGAAUUGCAAAGAACCCGUCUAGACUCGUUCGACUCGGACGGUUGAACCAUGGAACCGCUAGAACCGGCGGUUAUUGAUAAAUCCGGUGGGUUUUGGCAAUUUUUUUGAAGUUACCAUUUUACCCAAUUCUUUUAUUUUGACCAUUCACAGUACAUGGGCAUUAUCAUCUUUUCGCUACAUUUUUAGCCAAUUAGAAGAGAAAAUCAGAAAAAUUGAAGAGGGAUUCGGGCAUUUGGGCAUUCGGCCGUCAUUGGGGAUUUAGGCAUUUAGGGAUUCUUUUCUUCUUUGUUUCUCUUGAGAAGUGAGAACGAAUUGAGAUUUGAGAACUUCUUGAGCAUUUAAGGAUUCGGCAAGCAAUGUUCCAAUUUUUCGGCUUUCAAUUUUUCAGGGCUACGGCUUUCAAUUUUUCUUUCCUUUGCUUUGCUAAUUGCUCUAGCCUCUGAGAGUGAAGUUCGAACUUGCCGCAGCCGCUGCUAGAAUUCUUCUAGGAAGCGCCGCUGCCACCGAAGCUGCCAUUGAAGGGUGAAGCUUUGUUGCCGGUUGCAACUGGACACACACCACGGCACCUUGGAAGUUCGAAGUUGCCGCAGCCGCUGCCGCCUGCCAGAAUUCUUCCAGGAAGCGCCACUGCGACCGAAGCUGCCAUUGAAGGGUGAAGCUUUGUUGCCGGUUGCAGCUGGACACACACCACGGCACCUUGGAAGUUCGAAGUUGCCGCAGCCGCUGCCGCCUGUCAGAAUUCUUCUAGGAAGCUGCCGCUGCCACCGAAGCUGCCAUUGAAGGCUGAAGCUUUGUUGCCGGUUGCAGCUGGACACAGACGGACAGACCACAGCACCAGUGAAGCCUUGAAGGUAAGUAAAACGGAAAUUUAACUGAUGACAUGCUUCAAGAAAGUGGAAAUUUAACCUUUGACAUUUUAAUUACGUCUGUUGCCGAAGGCCACGAACCCAUUCUGUUAAAAAAAAGAGGUUGAGCCAUAUUUCACCUUGCAAAUACCUCAAGCCCAAGUUUAACAGCUAAUUCGAGAGUAUUUGAAGCUAAGUAUUCAAGAAUAUCCCUAAUCCAUAAAAAAAAAAUUAAAUCUCAGCUAUUCCUCAAUAUUGGCUCAGCUGAAUUGCAAAAUGUACCACCAAAAAAAAAUGACAGAUAACUGAUGCGACAUAGAUUCUUGCAUUAGCAUGUGACUAUAUUUUAUUUGAGUACAUACAUCGAAUUUCUGCUCUAAAUUAAACCAUGCCAAAUAAUCUGAAUUGAGUUUUGUUUCAACGUUGAUUUAGAUCAAUUGCAUGUGAAUUGGUCUUGCCAAAAAUAAUUAGGAUACGUGAACAUUAGCUAUUCGAUAGAUUAUGUUUAAUAUUAUCCAACAAAAAAUUUAAAAAGAAAGGCAUUGGGAAAGGUUGUGUAACUUGUGUUACAAAAUAAAAUCUAUAUAAGUUUUUUUUAAUUAUUAGUCUUGCACAAUUAAAUUAGUCGAGACACCUUGAAUUACCAAAAAAUUUUAUGAUAUUAAUGGCUAAUAUGCAGCUCGGGGCAAAUAUUUUUUGAUUGCAUAUACAAAGGACAUUCACUUCUUAUAAUAUUUGUAGUAAUAACUCAUAGUACCUUCUUUUCUCUUUUCCUUUUUCAUCUUCUUCUAUAUGUAGUAAGGGAAUGCCAUAUAUAAUUUAGUAGUUUUUCUUUCCAAAAAAAAAAAGUGAUAUGGAGAAAUCAAUAUACAAGAUACAAUAAACAAAGGUUGUUUAAUUCUUCUUGUGAUUCCUCCCAUAGCUUGAAUCUUGAUACCAUAUUUCAUUUCAUUCCCCAAACAUCAAAAUCAUGAAUAGUGAUAUGGAUCCAUCUCAAUCGAACUUUCAAGGGAUAAUGACAGUAAGGCAUUUAGCUUUCCAUUAUGUUUGCAUUUAAGUUUCACUUUUUCACUUUUUCACAGUAAGGCAUUAUAUAAAUGUCAUUUUCCUAGCUAUAAAUGUUAUUUUUUUAAAUAAAAGAUAUGUUUUAUUACUUUUCAGAUAGCUUGUAAUGGACUCUAUUGGAGAAACACCGUCUCAAACACCAAGUACAGAACCAACACCUAGUACAUCAAAUUCUCAAAAUCAACCUCUAACAAGGGGAAAGACAGACCCUGCAUGGUCUCAUUGUAGAGAAGAUUCUGUGUCCAACAAAAAAGUUAAGUGCUUGGUAUGUAUUCAUUGUGGAAAAAGAAUUCGAGGAGGUGGUAUCAAUCGAUUCAAACAGCACCUUGCAGGCUUAAAAGGGGAGACAACACCUUGUCUGAAGGUUGAUGAACAGAUUAGAUUUGAAAUGCUAGAAAACUUGAAAGCUGUGGAAAGCAAGAAAAGAAGCUUGAAAGAACGCUCAAGGGGAAGUGAUUUAUAUGGUCAAGAUCUAAGACAACAUGAAGAGGAGGUAUACAUGCAAGAUGUAGAAGAUUUUCAAGAGAUUCAACCACCUCCCACUAGUGAAGUUUCAAAAGGAAAAAAAGUUCUUCAACAACACAAAAAAGGAAAAACAAUAGGGACUUUUUUUAUGCCAAGAGCUACUCCAGGAGGUCAACCAUCCAUCAAAAGUGUGAUGCAAAGCAAAGAAACUAAAGAGAAGGUUGACUUGGCAGUUGCGAAGUGGAUGAUUGAUGCUUCCAUUCCCUUCAAUGCAGCAAACUCUGCAUAUUAUCAAACAAUGUUUGAUGCUGCUUGUUCUUUUGGGGCUGGUUACAAAGCGCCUAAUUUCUAUGACUUGCGUGGCUAUUUAUUGACAAAAAAUGUUGAGCAAGUUAAGAAUUUUGUUAAUAGCUUUCGUACAAGUUGGAAAGAAACUGGAUGUACUAUUAUGGCUGAUGGAUGGACUGACCAACAAAGGAGAACUCUCAUCAACUUUCUAGCUUAUUGUCCUAGAGGAACUAUUUUUCUGAAAUCAGUUGAUGCCUCGGAUGCUUCUAAGACUGCAGAGAUGUUGUAUAAGUUGUUUAGAGAAGUGGUUUUAUUUGUUGGGGUGGAAAAUGUGGUACACUUCGUCACUGACAAUGCUGCCAAUUAUGUUGCUGCAGGAAGAUUAUUAGAAAGGGAAUUUCCAACACUUUAUUGGUCUCCAUGUGCUGCUCAUUGUCUAAAUUUGAUGCUACAUGAUAUGGGCAAGUUAGAUGAGGUUAGUAAAGUGGUUGGACAUGCUUCAAAAAUAACAAAAUACAUUUAUAAUCAUUGUUAUCCAUUGCAUUUGAUGAGAAAACACACUGGUGGAAAAGAAAUUAUUCGGCCUGCUCCUACACGUUUUGCUACUAAUUUCAUUGCAUUGCAAAGUAUUUUAGUGCAAAAAGAUGCUUUAAGAGCUAUGGUGACUUCAAAAGAAUGGACUCUUUCAGCAUAUGCUAAGGAGAGUAAAGCAAAAAAAUUUGUGGAUCUUGUGCUAGAUUCUAUAUUCUGGAAAGAAUGUGCUAUAAUAGUUCAAUUAACUGAGCCUCUUGUUCGAGUUCUAAGAAUUGUUGAUAGUGAUGAAAGGCCUGCUAUGGAAUACUUGUGUGCUGCCAUGCAUAGAGCCAGAGAAGAGCUUUUGAGAAGAUUCACAAGAAAAAAAAAAACAGUUGAUCCUUAUUUAAGAAUAAUUGAUUCAAGAUGGGAUAGUCAGCUUCACAAAAAUCUUCAUGCUGCAGGUUAUUGGCUCAAUCCUGCUUAUCAAUAUAAUUCUCUUGAUUUGGAAAAGCACAGGCAUGCAACAUCAGGACUUUUGGAUGUGAUUGAGAGAUAUUCUUAUGCAAAUCCUGAUUUGAUGAGUAAUUUGACCGGAGAGAUGAGAUUAUUUCGUAAAGCUGAAGGUGAUUUUGGUAGAGUCUCUGCUAUACGAGAUCGUGAUGUCAUGCUUCCAGGUACCCAAAAAUUAACUUCAUUUUUAUUGAUGAUUUGAUUUUAAUUGUAAAAUAUUAUAUUCUGACUUUUUUCCUUUAUUUAUUGCAAUAGAUGAAUGGUGGACAUGUUAUGGUAGCACUGCACCUAAUUUGCAAAAACUAGCUAUACGUGUUCUAAGCCAAACUUGCAGUGCUUCUGGCUGUGAAAGGAAUUGGAGUUUAUUUGAGCAUAUCCACUCAAAGAAGAGAAAUAGAUUGGAGCAUCAAAGACUAAAUGAUUUGGUUUAUGUACACUACAAUUUAAGACUACAACAAAGGUAAACUACAUUUUGCAAUCUGAUUUUUAUUUUAAUAUGACGACAUUUGUUAUUUAACUAGUUUUAAUGUUUUGUAUUAUUAGAAAUGCAAGGGGUAGAAAUUAUGAUCCUAUUGAUUUUGAGGACUUCAGCGCCAAUGAAACUUGGAUUUUGGAUGAUGAACCUUCACAAUUAACUCCAGUUGAAUUAGAAAGCUUUAGGAAUGAAAUAGCUACAUUUGCUAUCAGCCGACAAAGUGGUGAGUUAUUCUAUUUGAGCCAUAUGCUUGCUUAUUCUUUGUUAGUUUGUUUUUCGUUUUUGGCUAAAUAUUAUCUAAGUUUAGAGAAUAAUUCAUUGAUUUUUGUACUUAUGUAGAUGAAACUCUAAAUUUGGAUGAUUUGGACACUGGAGAUGAAGAUGAGACCAAUAAUGAAGAGAAUGUUGAAAGAAAUGAUCUUAAUGUGGGCUGUGAUGUAAAUGAAUUUGGUGGUACUGAAUUUGGCAGAAGUUGGGAACCAUGGGCAUGAAUAAUAGAUGGAGUGAACUACUCAAGUGAUAAUUGUGGUGUUGUUUAUGUUCAUGACUUUAUGUUUGGUUGUAUUGAAUUGGUCGUUUAUGACUUAUGUUUCAUGGUUUGAUACUUAUAUUUAUCAUUUAUAUUUGUGUGUAAUUUACUGAUUUUAGUUUGAAUUCAUGAAUUGUUGAUCACAUAUGGUUAUGGAUUAUGUGUGUGAAAUGAAUUAUGAACUAUGAACUAUGAACAGGUUAUAACUUGUUGGGAUUUAAGAAUUUCUGUAAUUAUAUUAUAAUUUACAUGUUUAUUUAAUUAUAUUAUAUAUUUUUUUAUUAUAUAUUGUGACCCAACGGUUCAACCAGUGAUCCACCGGUUGAACCACUGACCCGUCAACCCGGUCCUCUUGCCGGGUUGAUGUCCGGGUUGGUUUUAAUAACUAUGGAUUCUCCACAUUGCUUCAGGAGGAGAGACCCAUCUUGCACAAACAAAAUUUUUUAUUUCGUCAACAAUUUCAAUAGGCCCAGUAUUACUCACCUGAUAUAAAAUUUUAUCAUGGCCUUUAUAGAUAUAUUUAUAUAUAUAUUUGACAGCCUGAAUUGUUGAACAAAUUUCUACAUUGAUAUGGCAAUUAAAUUUAGAGAGUAAAUAGGGAUUGUAUGGUAUUACCCAUCGAUUAUCAAGAGGAUGGCCACGAACAAUUAUUGAUUGCUGAAAAUCUCGUCGUCGAUAGAGAGGGUAGGAGUUGUGGCUGUGCCGUGUGAUUUCUGUAAACUCCUUAGGAUAGUUAUCCUUGCAUCCAAGAUGUUGUUUCAUGCAUGGGCAUUUUGGAUUCAUAGCACCACAAGGACCGUGCAUCAUGUGCUUAACAACGAGUUCAUGAAGAUAAGGAUGGCGGCUAGCAUCUGGCAGCUCAGCACAUACUACACGAUCAUAUGAUUCAGGAGAGUACAUCUUCCAUCCUUGUUUCAGAAUUAUUAAGAAAUGAGCGUGGGGCAAACCUCUUUUCUGGAAUUCGAUUACAUAUGUGUAAGCUGCUAUUUUUCCAAAUAUAUUCUUCUUCAGAAGUUCAUCUUUCAAGACUUCAAGUUUUGCACGGAAGACUCGAGAAAUUAGAUCUGGCCUGUUCUCAACUUUAUCAGUUGGCAGAAGCAAUUUUUUAAUCUCAGGCCAAUUCUUGUUACAAGUCAUUGUCAGAAAGAUGUCUGGUUUCCCAUAUCUUUGAACCAAAGACAUAGCAUCCAUAUAUCGGCGUCGCAUAUCUCGAGGCCCACCAAUGAAUGAAGCUGGAAGGAAAAUACGUUUACCAAUACCUGAUGAUGAUGAUUCACCAUUGGAAAUGCUAUCGACUAUGCCUUGAUAAAUCUCAGUUCGAAGUUGAGCCUGUUUGUUCCUCCCUCUAUGGAAAUCUAAUCUAAUUGACUCAAUCUUAACAUACAUAUCGACCACGUAUUGUUGCAGUAAUCUGCCUAUAUGCAAUAACAUUGACUGAUCAGCAUCUCGAAUUUGCAGUUUGUAACAAUAGUACUCACGACAUGAAACCGUGUUCCGUUUUCUUUUUUUUUGGUUAAUAGCUGAAACAAACAAAUAAUGAUAUUUAUGUUAUUUAUCGAUAAAGAAAGAUAAUAGACGAUGCUAUAUGGAGAUGAUUAUUGGUAAUACCUCUAUUUUCCGCAUCAAUGAUAUCAUUUGCCGUUGUUGCUGUAGCUGUAGCUAUAACAGUUUGUCCCUCACAAGUAACUGGUCUAAUAUUGCCUCUAUCCGGACGGCGCAUUCUCUCAAUCCCUGGAUGCCAACCUGGUUCUCCAUUUGCAAAGAUAAGAGGAUAUUGCAAUGAAUCAUGACAAGCAAAGUAAUGCUUAACAAUUUGCGUUUGACCAUUCUUUCCAUAAAUUUGUAUAUGUUUAGAGUUAAGAUGUUCAAAAUCUGAACUAUCAGUCCAAACAGCUCCUACUUGUGACACAGUAGGUUUAUUGAAAACUCGUUGAUCUAUAGCAGGCGUAGUUUCAAGCACAAUCUUAUAAUCAUCCAUGUCUGGCAAAUCUUGUAAUCCUCGAAAGAAUGCAGAGUAAGGAUUGAUCUUUAAAAUUUCCUCAAGCUUUGUCACCAGUGUUUCUUGAAAUCUAGCUGAAAUUGAAAGCCGCUGCGUUGUUUCAUGCUCAGUGUCAAAAAAAUAAAGCUGCAAGUUUCGUGGCUUCUCACCAUCCUCUGGAAUAAGCGCAUUAAUAUAAUGAUACAUUUGUCCUUGGAUUCGAAAUGUAUAAAUUCCAUUAUAAUUUGCAGCCAAAGAUUUGUCAGAAUGAAUACCAAUCGAGGUAAAUGCAAACAUAUUAUUAUAGCUUCUAACGCAUCUGCGAAACUCGACAGCAUGAUCAGAAUCUUCAAUAUAUAAUAACAUAAGCUCUCGCGGCAUCUCAGUAGAUAAUAGCUGUAUCUCACCAGAGGAACAGCAAAAACCAGGCGGUUCGUGAUGAAAUCGUUUUGCAUGACAGUACGGACAAUUUGGAACAUCAGGCAAUACUGUGGGCUCAAUAGCUAUCGUGGCUAACGGAUCAGUAACAGAGCGUCUUACAGAUCGACGUUUUCUACGUAAUGGUGAUUGACCAAUACCUAUAUUAGUUGAUGAAACCUCGUUAGCACUAUCAACAAUAGAGCUAGAUACAUUUUGUUCAUUUUCCUGCAAUACAACGACAGCAUAGUUAAAGAUUGGGAGUUUAACACGCUUAAAUAAGUCAAUCUGAUCUGUAAUAGAUAAAAGCUAACAUCUCAUACCAUUGGAAAUUGCUCUGCAUUAUUCUGUGUAGAUGGCAGCACUGGGUCUGAGCCUAAUGAAGAUUCUGCAGCACUCAUAUUUGGCUGAUUAAUAGUAUUUGGUUCACGUAUAUUAAAAGCUGUGACAGCCAGCGUACACACUCCUGAUGGCACAUCAUUUUUUCUCCUUUGGCGAGCAGCAGCACGUUGGUCGCGUCUCUUUCGAUUUUUCUCAGCAUUAGCCUCUUCUAAACUUUUAUAUAUUCUAUUCCGACCCAUUGUCCAAACAUUAAUCUACAGAAACCAUCAGAAAAUCAGCUAAGUGAGACAAUAAAGAUUUUACCUUGCAAAACCACAAAUCAUUGAGGACACCGUCUACUGCCUACUCACCAGUGGAGGCAAAGCAAUCGCAAUUACACAAGAGAUUGGGAAACCAAUUUCACCUUGCAAAACCACAGAUCACUGGGGAGCCAAAGCAACUGUAAUUACACAAGAGAUUGGGAAACCAAACAUACACGUGAGAUGAAAUCUUACAUAUAUAAAGCGUCAAUAGGAAACUUUAGAAAACUUUCCACGGCAUUUCUUAAGCUGCUAAACAAAACUAAGAAGAAGAACAGAACCUAAGAAGAAGAAAAAAAGCUAGGAGAAAAGAAAGGAUAUAGCUGACCGACCAACCGCCCACUAACUAAUAGUAAUUGCUGACUAUCAAAAUGGAGAGCCACAUGGACAAAGCAAAGCUACAAUUGAGGAGAGUCAGCAGACAAAAGCAAAAUGCCCAGCAAAGCUACAAUGCAAGAGAGCCAACAGACAAAAGCAAAAUGCACUGCCACCCAUCAGCAAAAGACCAAACCAACCGCCCACUAACUAAUAGUAAUUGCUGACUAUCAAAAUGGAGAGCCACGCGGACAAAGCAAAGCUACAAUUGAGGAGAGUCAGCAGACAAAAGCAAAAUGCCCAGCAAAGCUACAAUGCAAGAGAGCCAGCGGAUAAAAGCAUUGCCACUAAAUGGGAAAAGACCAAAGAACCCCUCAAAGUCACAAAAAUAAGGCGUAAUAUACAUAAAGCAACAAGUGAAGACUAUUGAAAACUUUGCAAAACCAGAGAUCACUGGAGACACCGUCCACUGCCUACUCACCAUCGGAGGCAAAGCAACUGCAAUUACACAAAAGCUUAGGAAACCAAACAUGCGUGUGAGGUGAAAUAUACAUAAAGCAAAGAAUGAAGACUCUAGAAAGCUUUUGCCGCCCAACCGCCCACUAACUUAAUAGUAAUUGCUGACUACCAAAAUGAAGAGCCACGCGGACAGAGCAUUGCUGACUACCAAAAUGAAGAGCCACGCGGACAGAGCAAGGUUACAAUGCAAGAGAGCCAGCGGACAAAAGCAAAAUACCAGCAGAGCCACUGCCACCCAUCAGCAAAAGACCAAAACGCCCC
rnacentral:lncRNA from 1 species